rnacentral:rRNA from 1 species
AUACGUAGGUGGCAAGCGUUGUCCGGAUUUACUGGGUGUAAAGGGCGUGCAGCCGGGACGGCAAGUCAGAUGUGAAAUCCAUGGGCUUAACCCAUGAACUGCAUUUGAAACUGUCGUUCUUGAGUACCGGAGGGGCAAUCGGAAUUCCUAGUGUAGCGGUGAAAUGCGUAGAUAUUAGGAGGAACACCAGUGGCGAAGGCGGAUUGCUGGACGGCAACUGACGGUGAGGCGCGAAAGUGUGGAGAGCAAACAGGAUUAGAUACCCUGGUAGUCCACACUGUAAACGAUGGAUACUAGGUGUGCGGGGACUGACCCCCUGCGUGCCGGCGUUAACACAAUAAGUAUCCCACCUGGGGAGUACGAUCGCAAGGUUGAAACUCAAAUGAAUUGACGGGG